rnacentral:rRNA from 1 species
ACGUAGGAGGCGAGCGUUAUCCGGAUUUACUGGGCGUAAAGCGCGUGCAGGCGGUGCGAUAAGUCGUGCGUGAAAGCUCCCAGGCUUAACCGGGAGAGGACGUGCGAGACUGUCGGACUAGAGGCAGGUAGAGGCAAGUGGAAUUCCCGGUGUAGUGGUGGAAUGCGUAGAGAUCGGGAGGAACACCAGUGGCGAAAGCGACACCCUGGCAUUGGCCUGACGCUGAGGUGCGAAAGCGUGGGGAGCAAACGA